rnacentral:rRNA from 1 species
GUCUCUUCGGGGAUGAUUAAACCGGCGCACGGGUGAGUAACACGUGAGUGACCUGCCUUUUAGACUGGAACAACUUACCGAAAGGUGAGCUAAUGCCGGAUGAGUUAUAUAAGUGCAUGUUUAUAUAGGAAAAGUUGGGGAGACCUGACGCUGAAAGAUGGACUCGCGUCCCAUUAGCUAGUUGGUAGGGUAAUGGCCUACCAAGGCGACGAUGGGUAGCCGGCCUGAGAGGGUGGCCGGCCACACUGGGACUGAGACACGGCCCAGACUCCUACGGGAGGCAGCAGUGGGGAAUUUUGCGCAAUGCUCGUAAGAGUGACACAGCGACGCCGCGUGAAUGACGAAGGCCUUCGGGUCGUAAAGUUCUUUCGACAGGGAAGAAAAUGCCUAUAAGUAACUGUGUAUGUAUUGACGGUACCUGCAUAAGCAGCCCCGGCUAACUCCGUGCCAGCAGCCGCGGUAAUACGGAGGGGGCGAGCGUUGUUCGGAGUGACUGGGCGUAAAGAGCACGUAGGCGGUGUUGUAAGUCAUUAGUCAAAGACUAGAGCUCAACUUUAGUAAGGCUAGUGAUACUAUAAUACUAGAGUAUCAGAGAGGAUUGCAGAAUUCCUGGUGUAGCGGUGAAAUGCGUAGAUAUCAGGAGGAAUACCGUUAGCGAAGGCGGCAAUCUGGCUGGAAACUGACGCUGAGGUGCGAAAGCGUGGGUAGCAAACAGGAUUAGAUACCCUGGUAGUCCACGCUGUAAACGAUGGAUGCUAGGUGUUGGGCUUUUAAGUUCAGUGCCGCAGCAAACGCGAUAAGCAUCCCGCCUGGGGAGUACGUUUGCAA